AUUGAACGCUGGCGGAAUGCUUUACACAUGCAUGGCGAACGGCAGCACGGACUUCGGCCUGGUGGCGAGUGGCGAACGGGUGAGUAAUACAUAGGAACGAGCCCAAUCGUGGGGGAUAACGUAGCGAAAGCUACGCUAAUACCGCAUACGAUCUAAGGAUGAAAGCGGGGGAUCGCAAGACCUCGCGCGAUUGGAGCGGCCGAUGGCAGAUUAGGUAGUUGUUAGGGUAGAGGCCUACAAAGCCGACGAUCUGUAGCUGGUCUGAGAGGAUGAUCCGCCAUACUUGGUCUGAGACACGGCGCAGAAUCAUACGGGAGGCAGGAGUGGGGAAUGUUAGACAGGAGACGCAAGUCUGAUGCAGCCAUGACGCGUGCAGGAUGAAGGCCCUCGGGUUGUAAACUGCUUGUGUACAGAACGAAAAGGCUCUGGUUAAUACCUAGGGCUCAUGACGGUACUGUAAGAAUAAGCACCGGCUAACUACGUGCCAGCGACCGCGGUAA
rnacentral:rRNA from 1 species